CUUCCGGUUUUCGCAGGUGAAAAAGAUCGCUUCCAAGAGACUGUUAUGAAACGUCGUUAGAGGCCACGUUGAAUUAUCCAGGAGGAAUGCCCCACCUCCAGCUGGUCCAAAAUGCAGCAGCAAGUUCCUCAGUCCCGGGCCAGGGGUGUCCAAAGUGCAGUGGCAGAGCCAGACAUCUUUUUUUGAGGUGGCCAAGUGGCAGCUCUGCGGGGACUGAAACAUUGGCCUUGGUAAGCAACGCUUGCUUUGAGGACAGACGGUAAUCCUGCGGCAAAACCCAGCUCAUCGCAAGCCAUCAUUACAUCUUUGUGACCCGGAGUGCUGCUCCCAAAAACCUCAACUUCCUACCUCCCUUCCUCCGCCACCCGGGAAAGAUGAUGCUUCGCCUCAUUCAUAUUACCAUUUCAAAGAUUUCCAGACAAAUCAGUCCGCAUGGCUUCGCAUUAGACUGGUGGGGGUGGUGGAGAGGCACUGUGAGUUUCCAAAUGUCUCUGAUAGUUAAGACACCGGGAGGCAAAGGAAUAUUGUGGCCAAACAUGAGUGCAAGUAUUCCUGACGUGACUUCAAAGUUGCAGUGGGGAGCGAGGCCAGGCUCCACCGUCAUGCUCGGACUAAAAUCCCAAAUCUAGGCCAAUAAAAAGACACAAACUCACUUUCCGUGAUGCAGUAUGUCGUCGCUGUAGCAUAAGACCCCACUUUGAAUAAUGGAGGAGUGUCUGUGUUGGCUAUAAUUGCACACAGAAUGCUCAUUUAACUUGUUGGCACUUGCUCAAACUUUGAUUUAAGCUGUUUUCCGAUUCAGUGUGAGCGAUUGCAUUGUCUGUGGUGCAUUUAAAGCAGGAAGAAAUACAAUUUCACCACUCAGAACUCACUUUAGUGACAUUUAGGCGUUAUUGCUCUAUUCUCUGAUGUCCUGAGUUGAAUGUGUUUGCAGCUGGGCUGCGAAUACGCUUUGGUAGAAACUACAAAGGCAGCCAAGACUGUGAACUUCACAGUGUUUCUACAAAAAAAAAUCUGCUUCAAGGGGAUAAAUAUUGCUGACGAGUCUUAGCGCUCCACAAGGGCAUUCUUUCUUUCCAGGGUGCGAUUGAAAGGCCCCAGUGCCCUGGAUUCAAAGCACUUUUACACAGCUCUACGUCUGGCGUCGUGAGCUCGCAUGGCUAUAUGAGGGCUGACACGCAGACAGAUAGGAUAUCAGAGGCAAGGAUGACACGAAGAUGGCCUCUGAAAUCAAUUGUCAUCCAGCACCACAUUGGUCUUACCUACUCAGUCUGCCAUCACUGUGCUCGAGCCCUUAAUCGACCCCCCUUUGGAACAGAUGAAGAGGCAACGAGACAUGCGAGCGUUACGCCACAUUCCACGCUUAUCAACCCCCACGAUCUCGCACAGCAAAAAAUGAUAACCAUUUGCAGGCAUUCAGUAAUAUUCAUCAUGUUCAGGGUCUCCUUUUUACAGCCCACAUUCAACUAUUCACCCUUAUUUUAGGCCCUGUCUACAUGGGAUUUUUUGUUUUGGCGGGUUGAAAAGCAGUAGCUCCUUCUUUUCUUGGUGGUAUGACUUGAUGUGAAUUUUCAAUGGUAAGUGACGUUUCAGUGGACUUCUUCGGUAUCAGCACCUCUUUUCAGCACCCCUGCAGUGUCCACGCUGGCGCCCGAGAGUGGCGUUACCUUGGCUCUUUUUUGCCUUGCCGUAUAAAGUGACGCGAAUAGCUGGCUGCGAUUUUUUUUUAUUAUUAUUUUUUUUUCAAAUGCGAUCAGAAUGUUUGAAAUGCUGUUGGAAUACCGUAAGAAUAUUUAGAAUGCAGUCAGAGUGCAGUUAGAAUACAUUUCAAAUGAUAUUUUUCCACUUCGAAUCCAACUAAAAUGUUUUUAGCAUGCUCAAAAUAUUCGGGACCCUUUUUAUAUUUGGAAUGCACUCAGAAUUUUUUGAAUGCACUUUGAACAUCCAGGAAUUUUCAUUCAGAUUCAUUCCACCUUCCAUUCUGGCUCAUUCCCCUUCUAGUGGGACUAGGGUAUCAAGGAAAGAAAUAGCCAUCCCAGUAGUAUAUCUUACAAUGCAUGCAAAACUAUUUGAAUGUGCAUGUUUUCCUCUUCGCUGCCUACAGUGUUUUGUUGAAGGUGAUUAGAAAAGAUGCCGCAAAAAUUAGAUUAAAUGUCCAUCCUGCAAGGAUAACAACAGUGAUACGGUGUUCAGAGAGGGCUGUUUUGUCAUUUCCGGGACCUUUUACUCAUUGAUUGUGGCUCAGUGGGUCAAAAGCAGCUUUUUUGAAGAAUUCUCCCUAUAAAGCAAAAAACCUGAAGCACAGUCUGCCAACACUGUGACCUUUUACGUUUUCAAAAAAUAUAUACUGCAUGCUGUAACACAUUACACCUAAAGGUUAACGACAAUACUCAAUCUACACGCUCCUUCUCCAUUCCAGCGCGGGCAAAUGCUUCAAGCAGGGAGACAAAAACAAAGCAAAAAGUUUCAAUUUUUAUACCAAAUGAUCUUAGAUUAAUCAAAUUGUAGGCAGCAUUGGCAAAUUAAUUACCAGGAAUAGGAAACGCUUCCAGUCAGGGGCUUAUGAAUAAAGAGCCAAGUAAUAGGUUGCUGAAGUGCACUAAACACAUCAACAAACAAGCUUUGGUAGGUUAAUUAAGAAGCUUUAGGCAUUCUUCCUGUUCUAAGACCUGUUCCACGGCCAGGAUUUGCUCAAUAAGGUUUCUCCUGUUCAUAAGCCUUCAGGCUGAAAAGAGACUAACAGCUGCAGUUUUGAUAAGAAUAAAGGAAUUGGAGUGGACCUCGCCAGAGGACGGAUGUGGCUUAGUUAUACAGGAAGAAUAUGUGAAUAUGGUUUGUUUUAGAAUUAUUAUAAACCUGGAUUUAAAAAAACAACACCUCAACUAAAAGUUGUGUAUUUUUUUUUGUAAAAUAAUUUAGCUACUUUUUAGAUAAAUUUUAAAAUUUCUACACGACAACUCAUCUCAGA